rnacentral:lncRNA from 1 species
UUCUUCCAGAUCACACAUGCAUGAGUGUCACAGGAUUUUGUGGAUUCUGAGGCCGUAGGGCAAUGGGAAAGCCCAAGGACAAGAGACGCAGGUGAAGCAAGAGUCCAGGUGCUGUCAGGCUGUGCCAGAGUCCACAAAGGGGUGACCCAGUGGCCAAGGACGCCAAAAGACCUUGGUGGCAGUUUCAGUUCUGGAAUGUGAAUCCUUCAUGCCACAGAGAAAAACAUCACAGCAGGGAAAAGAUCACGGAUGCAAUGCCCUUGGUGUUCAAGCAAGAUGCUCCUUCUGUUGAAUGCUGAGGCCCU